AGUGAACGCUGGCGGUAGGCCUAACACAUGCAAGUCGAACGGCAGCACAGUAAGAGCUUGCUCUUCUGGGUGGCGAGUGGCGGCCGGGUGGGGAAAACAUCGGAACCUACUUUUUCGUGGGGGAAAACGAAGGGAAACUUACGUAAAUACCGCAUACGCCCUACGGGUGAAAGAAGGGGCCCUUCGGCCCUUGCGGGAUUGAAUGAGCCGAUGUCGGAUUAGCUAGUUGGCGGGGUAAAGGCCCACCAAGGCGACGAUCCGUAGCUGGUCUGAGAGGAUGAUCAGCCACACUGGAACUGAGACACGGUCCAGACUCCUACGGGAGGCAGCAGUGGGGAAUAUCGGACAAUGGGCGCAAGCCUGAUCCAGCCAUACCGCGUGGGUGAAGAAGGCCUUCGGGUUGUAAAGCCCUUUUGUUGGGAAAGAAAAGCAGCAGGUUAAUACCCCGCUGUUCUGACGGUACCCAAAGAAUAAGCACCGGCUAACUUCGUG
rnacentral:rRNA from 1 species